UUGUCAUGCCAAUGGCACUGCCCGGUAGCUAAAUGCGGAAGAGAUAAGUGCUGAAAGCAUCUAAGCACGAAACUUGCCCCGAGAUGAGUUCUCCCUGACUCCUUGAGAGUCCUGAAGGAACGUUGAAGACGACGACGUUGAUAGGCCGGGUGUGUAAGCGCAGCGAUGCGUUGAGCUAACCGGUACUAAUGAACCGUGAGGCUUAAC
rnacentral:rRNA from 1 species